UGUUGCUGUUGCUGUGCAGAAGCUCUCUAGUUUAAUUAAGUCUCACUUUUCAAUUUCUGUUUUUGUUAUAAUUGCUUUUGGAGUCUCUAUCAUGAAGUGUUUGCCAGGGCCAAUGUCCAGAACGGAAUUUCCUAAGUUUUCUUCUAGGGUUUUUAUAGUUUUAGGUUUUACAUUUAAAUCUUUAAUCCAUCUUGAGUUAAUUUUU